ACGGGUGAGUAAUGCUUAGGAAUCUGCCCAGUAGUGGGGGAUAGCCCGGGGAAACCCGGAUUAAUACCGCAUACGCCCUUUGGGGGAAAGCAGGGGAUCUUCGGACCUUGCGCUAUUGGAUGAGCCUAAGUCGGAUUAGCUAGUUGGUGGGGUAAAGGCCUACCAAGGCGACGAUCCGUAGCUGGUCUGAGAGGAUGAUCAGCCACAUCGGGACUGAGACACGGCCCGAACUCCUACGGGAGGCAGCAGUGGGGAAUAUUGGACAAUGGGGGCAACCCUGAUCCAGCCAUGCCGCGUGUGUGAAGAAGGCUUUCGGGUUGUAAAGCACUUUCAGUGAGGAGGAAGGCUUUCAGAUUAAUACUCUGGAGGAUUGACGUUACUCACAGAAGAAGCACCGGCUAACUCCGUGCCAGCAGCCGCGGUAAUACGGAGGGUGCAAGCGUUAAUCGGAAUUACUGGGCGUAAAGCGCGCGUAGGUGGUUUGAUAAGCGAGAUGUGAAAGCCCCGGGCUUAACCUGGGAACGGCAUUUCGAACUGUCAGGCUAGAGUGUGGUAGAGGGUAGUGGAAUUUCCUGUGUAGCGGUGAAAUGCGUAGAUAUAGGAAGGAACACCAGUGGCGAAGGCGGCUACCUGGACCAACACUGACACUGAGGUGCGAAAGCGUGGGGAG
rnacentral:rRNA from 1 species